rnacentral:hammerhead_ribozyme from 1 species
AUCCAGCUGACGAGUCUCAAAUAGGACGAAACGCGAGUCAAACAGUAU